rnacentral:lncRNA from 1 species
AUGGUGAAAAGCUCCCAACCGGAGUGAAAAGCCCAAGCCUGAGAAUCUCUUUCACAGAAAGCAGCGAUGAUCACGAACUGGAUGAUUCCGAACAAAAGGGUGUAAGACGUAACCGAGAGCCUCGCCGGAUAAGAUUUAAGAACCGGAGCUUGAAACACGAGCCAGCCGGACCACGAGAGACAGUGACCUAUUAGGUAGAGGCAGCCAAGAGUCCAAUUUUUUGGCGCGGCGUCUCCAAGCGGCGCUAAGAUAGCGGAGUUGGUGGUGAGGAGGUGAGCGUGGAGGUGGCUAGUCGGAGUGUAGAUGGUUGGACCCUUGUAGAGAGUGAUGACGGAAGCUCCGGCGACGCAAAGAGCUGUUCCUAAGACCUUGGAGAUACCGUCUCUUCGGUUUAUUCUAACUUUCUCAAUCCUGGUUUGUUUUUACGUACAUAACAUAUAAACAGUGUCAUUGCUGUUGUGAUCACAUUACUUAUAACUUAUUAUCAAUAGGCAUUCAAUGUUAUCUCUACGUAUAAUAUUAUGUCCACUAAUGUUAACAUCUUACCAAAAAAAAAAUAUUAUGUCCACUAAAUCUUAUAAAAGAAUAAUAAUAUUAUGUCCACUAAUGGUAGGUUUCAUUCUUCUACACGUUGAAAAGUCAAAACGAAAUUAUUAAAGUAGUUCGUUAUAGACUUAUAGCUGGCCAGGAGUUUUAAAUUAUAUCUUGUUUUUUUCAUAAUUGAAACGCGAUGUGAAAUGGAUCAAUACCUGAGAAGAGCAGCCAUGAGAAAGGUAAUGGCGGGAACAGAAUUUUGCAUGGAAGAAGCAAAUGUUGGUGAAGUGUAGUCCAGUCCCAACAAGUAAAACCCUUGGUUCGCUGUUAUUCUGUGUCGUGUAAUAAGUCACUAAUAUAUUAAUUACUACUCCAAUUUUGUUAUUGAAAAUACAAAGUGAGGAGUAUAUAUAUUAUAUAUACCCGAUGAGUGCUAGAAAGAAGAACUGAAUGAGAAAAUUGAGUGUAAUCGCUGGUCUCUCCUUCCUAAAUAAAAUAAGUAUGUGAAUUAGUUUACUAAAUUGUUUGUUAAUCACAAGCAACUAACAAGAAAAGAGUUUUAAGAAAUGUUACUUUUCGAGGAAGUAAGCGAAGGGAAGGAGAAGAAGCAAGGCAAUGAUGUUACGAUAAACAGGGAAGACGAGUUUCCUAGUUUUAAAUCCUAAGAGUCUAUGUUUGUGUCAUGCGUCUAGUGUUGGAGGAGAAGCUGUGGCUUGUGUUCUAUGUGUUUUGUUGGUGUUUCAAGUUAUCCUUUGUGUUUAAUUCUAAGAAUUAGUUUCGGUUUAAUGUGUGCUGUGACAUGUGUUCUAUGUUCUGUUUUUAAAUUAUAUUCUCUGUCUAAUGUGUUAUGUUUUGAUUAUUCUCAGGCCAUGGGUUUGGAUUAUUCGUACACGCAGACGUCCCUCCGCAGCCUGAAGUGGAGUUUGGCUUCCCCAAGGAGUGCUACUGUGGUGGAGAGCCACUUGUAGCCACUUCUUACACAAGAACUGACCCGGGGAGAAGGUUCUACACCUGCAAGAACAAACAGGACGGAGACUGCCAUGUCUACAAGUGGUGGGACGUCGCGGCUACAGAGGAGAUCAAAGCCAUUGGUGCACAAGUGACCCUCCUCACUGAUAAGGUAGAUUCUCUUUCAUUCGUCGGUUACGAGGAGACCGAGCUGCGGGAGUUAAAGGAAGUUCAAUUUGAUAUGGAGCAGAAAUUGGUUAGGUUGGAGAGCAUUGUCUGUGACUUAGGUAGAAAGAAAUCUAGAUUUGGUAAUGGGUUUGAACUAGUUCUAGGUGUUCUGGUUGUUGUGUUAGUGAUAAUAGCCAUCGGAGUAGCUGCUCGUAUGUAGGAUUAUUGCAAAUGUAUGUUUAUCGAAAAUGUAUGAUUAUCGAAAAUGUAUGAUCAUGUACCUACUCUCCCAACUACAAAGUAGUUGUAAUAUUGAGAAAACGUGUUUUUACAUAUGCCUAUUCAAAUAACUAAAAUUAGUUGUAAUAUGAGAAAACGUGUUUGGUUCACAUAUUGUAUAGCUAUAAAUAUAACAUGUCUUUCAAUUACAGAGUCACAACACUUCUAAAACAAUCACAACCACUUCUCAAUAAUUUAUAAUGGCUUCUUCAUCACAUUAUCAUUAUCAUAAAGAUGAUGAUGAUGAGAUCGAUCUUGAUACUCCUUAUGAAGAAUUUUAUAACAAUUGUGCUCUCGUACAAGAACCAGAAGAUAGACAACGCCGUAAUGUUCAUGAGAGACACCGGGAAGAAGGCCACACCUUGCUUUGGAAUGAUUAUUUUGCCGACAAUCCAACUUACUCUCCCGCUCUUUUCCGCCGACGGUUUCGAAUGAACAAAAGUUUGUUCCUGCGUAUUGUGAAUCGUUUCUCCACAGAGAUUCCGUAUUUUCGACUAUCAGAAGAUUGUACCGGACGGACAAGUCUCACACCUCUACAAAAAUGUACUGCAGCAAUUCCAUGUAUCAUACUCCAUAAUAUGAUUGUCGAAGAUGAACGGGCAUCAUUCACUCAGUAUAACAAAUUUGAGUUUCAACCAAGAGAAGUUCCGGAUACAUUUACCGUCAACAUGCCUUCGAAUAUCAGUGAAAAUGUCGGCACUACAAUGGAUCGUCGAACGAGGCUUCGGAAUAGACAAAUCCAUGAAAACUUAAAAGACGAUUUGAUUGAAAAUAUAUGGGCUAAAUUUGGACAUCUUCCGAAUAAUAUGUAAUUUUAAGUUUCUAUGAAUAAAUUGUAUGUGUUUUAAUUUCUCAACUUUGUAUUUUUUUUCCAUUAAUAAAAUGUUUGUAAUUUUAAAAACUAGUUAAAAAAAAAUUUAAAAAACCUAAGGACUUAUCAAAAGUCCCACCCAUAAUCAACAUUUUAACAAAAGUCCUUAACCAAAGUCCUAAACUACAUAAACUAAUUAAAUACUCUAAGGACCAUUCUAAAAUUCCUAUUGAUGCACUUGCUCUUAAUAAAGAUUCUGUAUAUUAAGAGAAUAAAAUAUGAUAUAUAAAAAACUAGUUCACUUUGAACAAUUGUUCAUUUGGUUUAAAUUCGGUUCAAGAUUUUUGUAUAUCAGUUUUGAAUAUCCUGACAGUGAUCAAACGUAUAAACCAUAAAUGCAAAUUAUAACAUUCUUUUGAUGAUAGAAAAGCGAAAUAAAAACCACAAGAAAUGUAACAAAGUGGCACUAAUAUAACAGCAUAAUAUAAUAUAUUGAAAGGUCCAAAAGCCAAGCUUCCACAUAGUCUUCAUCAUCACCAUCAGGAUCAUUGUCAUCUUCACCACCAUCCUCAUGAACAAUGAUGUCUCAUCUACUUCUUUUCCCUCCUCAAAACCCUUUCUUAGGUAAUUAAUAUUAAGAAAAAAAACUAAAAAAAAAAAAGCAGACACAAAAGCCAUAAAACACAACGGCACACCAUUGGGUAAUGGCGUUGUAAUUAUUAGAUAGAGAGACACUCGACAAGUCAAACGUUGUCCGUUGAUUGAUGGAGCAGUGGAGCUGUGAUGGACGACUUGACGGAGCCGCGAGAAACGGGUGCACGCUCGAUAACAUGCUCCGCUGAGGACUGGAUCAUUGCCUUCUCAAGAGCUGCAAACUUCCUCUCUUCGCUCUUACCAUACAACACAAAGUAGAGUCCCGCUAUGAUCAGCACAGCUCCAAUAAUCCUGCCACGUGGUUAAAACAGUUUAAAUUAUUUCGUUUAGUCAUUCUAUUUUAUUGAAAUUAUUGGAAAGCCCCGGUUUAUAUUGUUAAUUAGUUUUACAUACCCGCCCAAGUAAAACUCUUCGCCUAACGCAAUCGAAGCCAUAAUCGCAACAACCAAAGUCUGAACAGGUUGGUAAACCGCAACGAAAACUGGACCCCCUCUGUCAAUACACCAAAUCUGAACCGCAAACGCGAUUCCAGACGCCACUAUUCCCUGAAAACAACACAAUGUGAGGGCCAAAUAGACAAAUUUAAAACAAUAGGGCCAAUAGCUGAUGUGAUGAUCUUCUUUGUCUAGCUAUACUCUUAUUCAGUAGAAUUUGAUUAAACCUAGAGUUGAAGCUAAAGAUGUUUUAAAUUUUUUGGGGUUUUUUAGAGUGAAUUUUGCUUUGUGAAGCGGCUUUAAAUUCCAGUUCAAUUGUAUAUAUUUGCUAUUUCCGUCAAAUGAGUUCACAUUUUGGCAAAGAAAACAGUAGGGUCAAGAUCGAAAUAUACACUCUUUGUAUUAUAUUAAAAUAAUUUUUUUAAAGAAAACAAUUGUUGGACAAAGAUGGUUUUAUGUUUUCUAAUAAGUUUUUAUUAGCUAACAAUAAUUUUUUGAAAAAGUUAAUAAUAAAAUUUUAAAAAAUAAUUGAAUUCAUUAAAUUACUAUUGGUUUAAAGUUUUAGAUUUGAUAACCUAAAAUGAUGUAUUAUAAGCGAUUUAAUGUAUUUUUAAUAGUAGAAAUAGUAGAUUUUUUUAAAAGAACGGAUAUAACAAUAAUUAAUAAAUAGUGAAAAGGUAAAAAGAAACUUAACUGCGUAGAGGAUGGUGAAAAGCUCCCAACCGGAGUGAAAAGCCCAAGCCUGAGAAUCUCUUUCACAGAAAGCAGCUAUGAUCACGAACUGGAUGAUUCCGAACAAAAGGGUGUAAGACGUAACCGAGAGCCUCGCCGGAUAAGAUUUAAGAACCGGAGCUUGAAACACGAGCCAGCCGGACCACGAGAGACAGUGACCUAUUAGGUAGAGGCAGCCAAGAGUCCAAUUUUUUGGCGCGGCGUCUCCAAGCGGCGCUAAGAUAGCGGAGUUGGUGGUGAGGAGGUGAGCGUGGAGGUGGCUAGUCGGAGUGUAGAUGGUUGGACCCUUGUAGAGAGUGAUGACGGAAGCUCCGGCGACGCAAAGAGCUGUUCCUAAGACCUUGGAGAUACCGUCUCUUCGGUUUAUUCUAACUUUCUCAAUCCUGGUUUG